UCCGAGAAAAUAGAUUGUUAUUAUAUUUGAAAAAAUGAGACCCCAAAACACCACCAGCGCACAAGACAGCUUUUUUUUUAAACACUACAUUCAUUCAAACCUACAAGGAUGAGAUACAAAGCCAGCAGCACACAUCAGUGUCUCUGGAAACAAAGCUGGACGAACCAAAUGUUUCCCAGAAACUAAAGCCCUAACAAAGGAAACGACAAGAACAACACCUAAUCAAACUAGAAGAAGUGUGUAAACAUAUCAAAAUAAACCUUCACCAAAAGUGAACAAUAAAACAUGAUGAUUAACAAAGCUUCUUUGAACAAGGCAAAGCGAGGCAGCCAUUCUUGGAUAAACCUCCGGUUUACGAUUCCUCCUAUGCUAAAUAACACAUGCAAAUGAAAGGCCAAAGCUUCAAGCUCCAGGAGACCGAACACGUUAUGUUCAUGAGUCAAAAACGAUGGCGCAGAAGGAUAGAAACGCCAAUCGAAGCCAAACGGAAGAAAAGAUCUCGAUCGGAUCUUGAGGUUAAUGACAAGGAGUGAAACAACUCAGAGCCAGGAACAACCAAGCUCAAAAGACUGAGAGAGUUGAAGAUCGAGACCUGGUAUGAGCCAAAAAAGCUUAAAAUCGACAUGCAAUUCAAUCAAGCCACAUACAAAGUUCUUAGACAGAACCAGAUCUGAAAGAUACAAGUAUCCAACUCACUUCGACUAGAAAGAUCAACCAAAAGAGAAAGAUAAGAGAACAAAAGAAAAGAAACAGAUCGGCCCCGGCGCUAAGGAAGCAACCGGAGCCGGUAAACCGGCAAAAUCAAGCGAAAAUUUUUAAAGAAAUGGCAGAGGAAAAGUUGAUUCUCCGGGAGUCAAAGGGCCCCUUAUUGCGCACAAGACAGCUUUACUCCACUUCUUUCUCUGGGGAAGAAAAAUCUACUUGAAAAAAAAUCAUUCACAUAUCUUUUGUUAUUACCAACAACAUCAUCAAAAUGUUAUUUUAUUUAUUACAUCACAUUCCUUAGGAUUCAGUUCUGUAAAAGUCACAUGAUCCAACUUCUAUUCUGAUAUUUUGCUUACUCUCUUGGAAAUCAUUACCAUUGUGAGGAACUGUCUUUUUUUUUUUUUUUGCUCACUUUUAUUAAAAGCAUGCUAAAAAUAUUACAGUAGACACGCU
rnacentral:lncRNA from 1 species